GCUCACUCAGAACUUGAGGCUCUUUGGAAUGUGUGCUUCCGCCCGAGCAGAGGGGUGAAGAAAAGGCAGAAACAACAAAGCCAGCUGGGCUUUCCAGCUUCCCAUGCCUGGCCCUGCCCUAGCCAAAGGAGGAGAUGCCUGGGGCCUUAAAUCCUCCGGGCUGGCGUCCGGGACACAGAGAGGAAGGCUUGGCGGGGCCCACAGCAAACCAGGGGAGGAAGGCAGGAAGUCUUCUGCGGACAGGCAAGAGCUGGCCUAAGAACGCAUCCAGGGCAGAGGGCUGAGAGGUGGGAGAGGGAGACCGAGGUGGGACAGCGUCCUCUGACACCUGGAUCCACCUGUGCCUGAAGGAGACAUGAAGCUGGCGGUCCCUUCCGUGGAGGCCAGCAAUAAAACUUGAUGGCUGCGAUUCUCCCGCUGAGCAAACACCAUCUUCUCCAUCUCGGGUCUCUUCAGCACUUCGGGGCUGCAGCCGGUCAAUCUGCGCCGCUGGAGGACCGUCUUGUUUACCUUUUAUAAGGCCACACCGAGGCUCUAUCAGGAAUUAAUGCCGCACGGCUUGGAAAGCGAUUCCAGAGCUGGACCCAUGGGGGGAACAUCACUGAGAUCGGGAGAGACACAAAGUCACCCCGCUGCCCUCACGGGGCCGGAAGGGUGGCGUCCGUGUCCCCGCAGGUUCUCCCCAUGAGUGUUUCUGUUCCUGGUAUGGAGCCCAGUGUCCAACAGACUGAGAACUACGUGAGAAUUUAUUGAAUAAAAGAAGGGAUGAACCGGAGUGACCAUCGUUCAUGUUGAGUGUUUCUAACUUUUCUUAAACACAAAAGUGCUUAAAGUCUCUGUGGACAGAAG